UGGGGAAUUUUGCGCAAUGGGCGAAAGCCUGACGCAGCAACGCCGCGUGAGUGAUGAAGGCUUUCGGGUCGUAAAGCUCUGUCAAGGGGAAAGAAAUGUAUUGUGGUUAAUACCCAUAAUACUUGACGGUACCCCUAAAGGAAGCACCGGCUAACUCCGUGCCAGCAGCCGCGGUAAUACGGAGGGUGCAAGCGUUGUUCGGAAUUAUUGGGCGUAAAGCGCAUGUAGGCGGUUUGUUAAGUCUGAUGUGAAAGCCCUGGGCUCAACCCAGGAAGUGCAUUGGAAACUGGCAUACUUGAAUACGGGAGAGGGUAGUAGAAUUCCUGGUGUAGGAGUGAAAUCCGUAGAUAUCAGGAGGAAUACCGGUGGCGAAGGCGGCUACCUGGACCGAUAUUGACGCUGAGAUGCGAAAGCGUGGGUAGCAAACAGG
rnacentral:rRNA from 1 species